UCGGUGCAGGGUUGAUGGUAGAGGUGACUCUGUGCAGGGAUGAUGGUAGAGAUGACUUAGUGCAGGGAUGAUGGUAGAGGUGAAUCAGUGCAGGGAUGAUGGUAGAGGUGACUCGGUGCAGGGAUGAUGGUAGAGGUGACUCUGUGCAGGGACGUUGGUAGAGGUGACUCAGUGCAGGGAUAAUUGUAGAGGUGACUCGGUGCAGGGAUGAUGGUAGAGGUGACUCUGUGCAGGGAUGAUGGUAGAGGUGACUCGGUGCAGGGAAGAUGGUAGAGGUGACUCUGUGCAGGGAUGAUGGUAGAGGUGACUCGGUGCAGGGAUGAUGGUAGAGAUGACUUAGUGCAGGGAUGAUGGUAGAGGUGAAUCAGUGCAGGGAUGAUGGUAGAGGUAACUCUUUGCAGGGACAUUGGUAGAGGUGACUCGGUGCGGGGAUGAUGGUAGAGGUGACUCGGUGCAGGGAUGAUGGUAGAGGUGACUCGGCGCAGGGAUGAUGGUGGAGGUGACUCGGUGCAGGGAUGAUGGUAGAGGUGACUCUGUGCAGGGACGUUGGUAGAGGUGACUCGGUGCAGGGAUGAUGGUAGAGAUGAAUCGGUGCAGGGAUAAUUGUAGAGGUGACUCGGUGCAGGGAUGAUGGUAGAGGAGACUCUGUGCAGGGACGUUGGUAGAGAUGAAUCGGUGAAGGGAUGACUGUAGAGGUGACUCGGUGCAGGGAUGAUGGUAGAGAUGAAUCAGUGCAGGGAUGAUGGUAGAGAUGAAUCAGUGCAGGGAUGAUGGUAGAGGUAUGAUGGUAGAGAUGAAUCAGUGCAGGGAUGAUGGUAGAGGUAUGAUGGUAGAGGUGACUCAGUGCAGGGAUAUUGGUAGAGGUGACUCGGUGCAGGGAUGAUGGUAGAGGUGACUCGGUGCAGGGAUGAUGGUAGAGGUGACUCUGUGCAGGGAUGAUGGUAGAGGUGACUCGGUGCAGGGAUGAUGGUAGAGGUAUGAUGGUCGAGGUGACUUGGUGCGGGGAUGAUGGUAGAGGUGACUCGGUGUAGGGAUGAUGGUAGAGGUGACUCGGUGCAGGGAUGAUGGUAGAGGUGAAUAUGUGCAGGGAUGAUGGUAAAGGUAUGAUGGUAGAGGUGACUCGGUGCAAGGACAAUGGUAGAGGUGACUCGGUGCAGG
ensembl:lncRNA